rnacentral:tRNA from 3 species
GGAGGGGUGGCCGAGUCCGGUUGAUGGCGACGGUCUUGAAAACCGUUAUGGGUGCAAGCCCAUCCAGGGUUCAAAUCCCUGCCCCUCCGCCA